CAACUCUCUGCCCUUAGCUGAGGCACUAGACCUCAUUGAUGUCAUUUAUGUUUCAGUGGUGUUGGAUUUGAUUGGGUGGAAUUGUGUACUUGGAAAUUUCCUCAUAUUUGAAAAAUGCUGUAUGUAAAAAUAUCACUGGUCUAAAACUAAACUUUUAUGGUACAACUGACAAGUUGACACCACUUUCAAUCCCUUUCUGGAGCAUCUCAAUCGCACAUAUGGGAGAGUAUAACGUGACUGUUUAUGUACUUCAGAAAGAUUGAACUAACCAUCCUUUUUCAAUGGAAACAGGAAGUUGGUCUACCAAAACCCCCUAUACUCUCCUUCACCCCAAGUUGCUCGUAACACAUUCAGACAAUGAGACGUCAGAAACAUCUACGUCGAAGGCUCUUCUGAGAAAGGUGACAAAUAGGAGGCCUGUGAUUGGCUGGAGUUGUUUUUACAUGUGGUUGCGUUUAUGUCCAAGGUAUUGUGAUAAUGUAGACAGGCAUUUUCCACUGAGGUGGACCAAUCAGAUCUCGACACAAACAUCCGCUUCAAAGGCCCUCACCAUCGUCAGCUCCCCCAGCGCCAGUCUCUGAGAUGGAGAGAUCAAGAGCUAUUCUCAUCGCUCUCGUCUGUGUUUUGUUCUCCAGGGUCUCUGGAGCAGAAGUGGAGAUGAGGGUCAGGCCAGGAGACAAUGUCACUCUCUACUGCGACUGUGUUUGGAAGUUAGGAUUUAAUCCAGUUUGGUUUAGAAACUCCUCAUGUCAGCAUGAAGCUCCUCUCGUGAUAUCUUUUCUCACGCAUGGUGAUCCUCAACAUUACACAUUUGUGUGGAAUCCCUCCGAACAAACUCAUGAUCUGCUGGUGAAGAACGUCUCUGAGUCAGAUCUGGGUCUGUACUACUGCGCUGUACAGGAGAAGAAGGUCACCAAAGAUGAAGCUGGAGUUAUACGCGAACAGGAUGUUUAUCAUUAUGGAAACAGAACCACUCGCCUCUCCCUCCUUGUCCCUUGUACCGCCGACAUUCCUCAGACCACCUCCACCCCUCCUUCAUCAGACUGUAGCGUCUGCUGGAAGCUGCUGGUCAGCAUGUGUCCUGUGUUUGUUCUCCUCUCCUCCACCUGUGUGUGCUGCAUCUGCAGAAACAGAUUCAAAGCAGCUGGUCAGGAACGGAGGAACAAAACGCCGAGUCGGAAGAGCAGAAAAACUGAAGAGGUACUGGAAAAUGCAUAA
ensembl:lncRNA